UUUCGUCUUCUACUUCAAGUGCUGAAACUACUGAACAAUCGAAUAAAAGGAAGAGGGAAUCAAUCAAGAGGACUCUUUUCACCAACAAUGAGCAAAGAGAAAUGGAAGAAGUUUCAGAGGCGGAUCCAAGGGAGUUUGAUGAAGUUCCAAUAAAGUUGCUCAAAAAGAAAUCGUCACCAACUAGCGGAAAACUUGGUACCACUCCUGAAAAAACCAACUAGCUUGCUUGCUUAAGGAUGAACGAUGCAGUGCCAAAACUCAUCUCCGAUACUGAAAUGCAAUAACCGUUUUUUUGUUAAUAUGUAUCAAACAAUAUUGAUAAUAUUUGGCUGCCAUGUAAAUGUCUCUCUGGUCUGGACUUCAUAAUAUUUUUUGCAUGAACAAUAUUUGGCUGCCAUGUAAAUGUCUCUCUGGUCUGGACUUCAUAAUAUUUUUUUGUAUGUACAUGCUGGUUCCACUUGAGAGGUAGAUGCAAAUGGUAGAAUCCAAUCAAUCACUUUAUGUCUUUUUUUUUUUUUUUUUU